GGCUCCAUAGUUUAGUGGUUAGCACGUCUGCUUUACAUGCAGAAGGUCCUUGGUUCACGCCCCACGUGGAGCCA
rnacentral:tRNA from 1 species